rnacentral:rRNA from 1 species
UACGUAGGGUGCGAGCGUUAAUCGGAAUUACUGGGCGUAAAGCGUGCGCAGGCGGUUUUGUAAGUCUGAUGUGAAAUCCCCGGCUCAACCUGGGAAUUGCAUUGGAGACUGCAAGGCUAGAAUCUGGCAGAGGGGGGUAGAAUUCCACGUGUAGCAGUGAAAUGCGUAGAGAUGUGGAGGAACACCGAUGGCGAAGGCAGCCCCCUGGGUCAAGAUUGACGCUCAUGCACGAA